GAUGAAGAACGUAGCGAAAUGCGAUAAGUAAUGUGAAUUGCGGAAUUCAGUGAAUCAUCGAAUCUUUGAACGCACAUUGCGCCCGCCAGUAUUCUGGCGGGCAUGCCUGUUCGAGCGUCAUUACAACCCUCAGGCCCCCGGGCCUGGCGUUGGGGAUCGGCGGAGCCCCCCGUGGGCACACGCCGUCCCCCAAAUGCAGUGGCGGUCCCGCCGCAGCUUCCAUCGCGUAGUAGCUAACACCUCGCGACUGGAGAGCGGCGCGGCCACGCCGUAAAACACCCAACUCUUCUGAAGUUGACCUCGAAUCAGGUAGGAAUACCCGCUGAACUUAAGCAUAUCAAUAAGCGGAGGA
rnacentral:misc_RNA from 1 species